GGGACAUUGGCGCAGUUGGUAGCGCGCUUCCAUAGCAUGGAAAAGGAGGGGUUCGAAUCCCUAUGCUCA
rnacentral:tRNA from 1 species